GACUGCUUACAAGUAAUGGGCGGCUACCUUGGAAACUCAUGUGAGUAGCUGGGGCCCUCUGGUGGAGGAUUAUGGUAGGCAUGGUCAAACUGUUGACAAAGGAGGACGUAGUAUACCAGUUAAAGAUACAGUCUGCGAUUCUGGCGAAGGUUGUUGAUAUUUGCGCUCAACAGACAAUCAAUUACACCCCUCCCUUAUUUACUCCUGAAGCAACCUGUUGAUAGGCUGGAAUAGUUUAUGGCUCAGUCCGAGUUUGUGUCCCAUUUACACAGCCAGGACUAUGCAAACACUGGUCAGAUUGGAUAAUACGGAAGUUAGAUAAAUGGCUAACAAACAGCGAGAACUCCCAUCCUGGAUGGAAAGGAUGGGUAAGGAAGGCAACUGCUUCACCAGGAAAGUUACAACCAAAACAAAAAAGAAGUUUACCCCGAGGGUUACAGUCUAUUUUAUGAACGAGUGGGAGCUGGUGCAAAACGCUCUCGUCUUCGGGGAUUUGGAGGACAAAAUAUGUCACGUUGAAGGACUUACAGAAAAGGUACUCAAACCAGAAGGCGGUCUGGUGAAGAAGAGAAGACAAGAAGCAGGAAUGGACUCUAAUGAGCAGGGUACCCUUGAGGCGAGGACAAGCGCAUUAGAAUCAGAUUUGGACACAGCAGAGCUAGAGACUCUCCCUUAUGGAAAUACUAACCAGGGGCACAAAUCAGGCAAUGAAGAAUGCACAACCAGCACGUUGACAGACCAUCAGCCUGACACUGUAUCUGAUGAUGAAGCUUUGAAACUUGUAAGGGAGAUUUUUUUCACAUGAUGGUGAGGCCUUAAUCUUUCAAGAUCAUCUGUCAUGAGAUACAGUGGCUCCCUUCAUCUUUCACUAUGUAAAGAGUACUGGACAUGGGAAUGGAAUCGGAAGAACUGUCUUCUGUAUAACGGGAAAUGUCUACACAUAUACGGAAAGGAUAGUGAUGACAUUUUUUCCUAGGAGAGUCAAGGGCUUCCCAAUGUUUGCUGCCGUCUUUAAACCCAAAGUUAAAGUGCUCUCCAUGGCAGUGAAUGUGACUCCAUACAGAGUUGCUGUACACUGAGGUGGAGUGUGGAGUGUCUAUAAUACAAAAUGGCCAUAGUCUGGCCAUAAUACUCCUACUCUUUACAUUCAUUGUUGUAGGGUUUCUCAUAAUAACUCAUAAUGAGGAUACAUCUUAUGUCCUGUGAAAUAAGAAUUAAGAUGCCAAGAUAACACCAUUCACCCGGUAGGGCAGCAUCAUAUCUGGUUCCAUUUUCAUGGAAGAAAGAUAACUUAUGUGAAACAUCAAACCCAGUUAGUAAAUAAAUACACAUGAAUUGCUUGUUACCA
rnacentral:lncRNA from 1 species